UACCAGCACCCCGAGUGGUCGGGACGUUUAUUGGGCCUAAAGCAUCCGUAGCCGGUUCUACAAGUCUUCCGUUAAAUCCACCUGCUUAACAGAUGGGCUGCGGAAGAUACUAUAGAGCUAGGAGGCGGGAGAGGCAAGCGGUACUCGAUGGGUAGGGGUAAAAUCCGUUGAUCCAUUGAAGACCACCAGUGGCGAAGGCGGAUCUCUGGGCCGUAACUGACGCUGAGGAGCGAAAGCAUGGGUAGCGAACAGG
rnacentral:rRNA from 1 species